rnacentral:rRNA from 2 species
AUACCGGCAGUUCGAGUGAUGGCCGCUUUUAUUGGGCCUAAAGCGUUCGUAGCUGGCCAGUCAAGUCUGUCGGGAAAUCCAGUGGCUUAACCACUGGACGUCCGGCGGAAACUGAUUGGCUUGGGACCGGGAGAUCCAAGGGGUACGUUCGGGGUAGGAGUGAAAUCCUAUAAUCCUGAACGGACCACCGAUGGCGAAAGCACCUUGGAAGCACGGAUCCGACAGUGAGGAACGAAAGCUGGGGUCUCGAACCGGAUUAGAUACCCGGGUAGUCCCAGCCGUAAACGAUGCUCGCUAGGUAUGGCGCAGGCCAUGAGCCUGCGCUGUGCCGUAGGGAAGCCGAGAAGCGAGCCGCCUGGGAAGUACGUUCGCAAGAAUGAA